GACGAACGCUGGCGGCGUGCUUAACACAUGCAAGUCGAACGGAAAGGCCCUGCUUUUGUGGGGUGCUCGAGUGGCGAACGGGUGAGUAACACGUGAGUAACCUGCCCUUGACUUUGGGAUAACUUCAGGAAACUGGGGCUAAUACCGGAUAGGAGCUCCUGCUGCAUGGUGGGGGUUGGAAAGUUUCGGCGGUUGGGGAUGGACUCGCGGCCUAUCAGCUUGUUGGUGGGGUAGUGGCUUACCAAGGCCUUGACGGGUAGCCGGCCUGGGAGGGUGACCGGCCACAUUGGGACUGGGAUGCGGCCCGGACUCCUACGGGAGGCAACAGUGGAGAAGAGUGCACAAUGGGCGGGAGCCUGAUGCGGCACCGCCGCGUGGGGGAUGACGUGCUUCGGGUAGUAAUGCGCUUUCGCCUGUGACGAAGCGUGAGUGACAGUAAUGGGUAAAUAAGCACCGGCUAACUACGUG
rnacentral:rRNA from 1 species